rnacentral:rRNA from 1 species
AACCCGUGUGGGGGAGCCGUAGCGAAAGCGAGUCCGAAGAGGGCGUUUGAGUAGCGUGUUCAAGACCCGAAGCGGAGUGAUCUAGCCAUGGGCAGGGUGAAGCGCGGGUAAGACCGUGUGGAGGCCCGAACCCACCAGGGUUGAAAACCUGGGGGAUGACCUGUGGUUAGGGGUGAAAGGCCAAUCAAACUCCGUGAUAGCUGGUUCUCCCCGAAAUGCAUUUAGGUGCAGCGUCGUGUGUUUCUUGCCGGAGGUAGAGCACUGGAUAGGCGAUGGGCCCUACCGGGUUACUGACCUUAGCCAAACUCCGAAUGCCGGUAAGUGAGAGCGCGGCAGUGAGACUGUGGGGGAUAAGCUCCAUGGUCGAGAGGGAAACAGCCCAGAGCAUCGACUAAGGCCCCUAAGCGUGUGCUAAGUGGGAAAGGAUGUGGAGUCGCAGAGACAACCAGGAGGUUGGCUUAGAAGCAGCCAUCCUUGAAAGAGUGCGUAAUAGCUCACUGGUCAAGUGAUUCCGCGCCGAUAAUGUAGCGGGGCUCAAGUACACCGCCGAAGUCGUGUCACUCAUACAAUAGCCCUAACGGGUGUGUGGGUGGGUAGGGGAGCGUCGUGUGCCGGGUGAAGCAGCCGUGGAAGCGAGUUGUGGACGGUUCACGAGUGAGAAUGCAGGCAUGAGUAGCGAUACAUGCGUGGGAAACGUGUGCGCCGAUUGACUAAGGGUUCCUGGGUCAAGCUGAUCUGCCCAGGGUAAGUCGGGACCUAAGGCGAGGCCGACAGGCGUAGUCGAUGGAGAACCGGUUGAUAUUCCGGUACCCGCUAUGCAGCGUCAAACAUCGAAUCAGGUGAUGCUAAGUCCGUGAAGCCCCCUGGUCUCUUCGGAGUCCGGGUGUGGUGGAGCCGACGGUCCGAGCUUGUAGUAGGUGAGUGAUGGGGUGACGCAGUGAGGUAGUCCAGCCCGGGCGAUGGUUGUCCCGGGGUAAGGGUGUAGCCCGAGGAGUAGGGAAAUCCGUUCCUCGUUACAGGGGUGAGACCUGAUGCCGAGCCGUUUGUGGUGAAGUGGAUGAUCCUGUGCUGUCGAGAAAAGCCUCUAGCGAGUUGUGUGGCGGCCCGUACCCUAAACCGACUCAGGUGGUCUGGUAGAGAAUACCGAGGCGUUCGGGUGAACUAUGGUUAAGGAACUCGGCAAAAUGCCCCCGUAACUUCGGGAGAAGGGGGGCCAUGUCUGGUGAGGGCACGUGCUGUCUGAGCUGGGUGUGGCCGCAGAGACCAGCGAGAAGCGACUGUUUACUAAAAACACAGGUCCGUGCGAAGCCGUAAGGCGAGGUAUACGGACUGACGCCUGCCCGGUGCUGGAACGUUAAGGGGACCGGUUAGUCACAUUUCGGUGUGGUGAAGCUGAGAACUUAAGCGCCAGUAAACGGCGGUGGUAACUAUAACCAUCCUAAGGUAGCGAAAUUCCUUGUCGGGUAAGUUCCGACCUGCACGAAUGGCGUAACGACUUCUUGACUGUCUCAACCAUAGGCCCGGUGAAAUUGCACUACGAGUAAAGAUGCUCGUUUCGCGCAGCAGGACGGAAAGACCCCGGGACCUUUACUACAGCUUGAUAUUGGUGUUCGGUUCGGCUUGUGUAGGAUAGGUGGGAGACUGUGAUGCGGACACGCCAGUGUUCGUGGAGUCGUUGUUGAAAUACCACUCUGGUCGUGCUGGAUGUCUAACCUGGGUCCGUGAUCCGGAUCGGGGACAGUGUCUGGUGGGUAGUUUAACUGGGGCGGUUGCCUCCUAAAAUGUAACGGAGGCGCCCAAAGGUUCCCUCAGCCUGGUUGGUCAUCAGGUGGUGAGUGUAAGUGCACAAGGGAGCUUGACUGUGAGACUGACGGGUCGAGCAGGGACGAAAGUCGGGACUAGUGAUCCGGCGGUGGCUUGUGGAAGCGCCGUCGCUCAACGGAUAAAAGGUACCCCGGGGAUAACAGGCUGAUCUUCCCCAAGAGUCCAUAUCGACGGGAUGGUUUGGC